rnacentral:lncRNA from 1 species
UCAGUAAUUCCCCUAAAACAUCAUAAAUUGGGUAGUUUCAUGUUAAUAUUCCGGUCAACGAUUAUAGAUUAUAUGGUAAAAAAUUUAAUAAAAAAAAAGUGUAGUGAUUUUCACGAAUUAUAAAUGUCCUACGCAUCUAUACCAUCGACCAAGUUGUAGCAGGUCUUGUGAAAUUAGUCUAAUAGUUAGGUAACAACAACAGUAGCCCUAUUCACAUUAUACCAUUUUAAUCAGUUAAAAAUGUAUGCAUCAUUCAUCACAAGAUCCCUAACAUGGUGUUAAAUAGUGGUAUGCGACUAUGACUUUAGUGGUUCCGUCCACAGAUUUGGACGGAUGAAUACAAACAGAAAGCAUGAAAAUCAAAAGUAAAAAAUUGUUAGAUUCUUUCCUCGCAUAGCUGUGAGGAGUAGCAAAGAAAGUUGAAUAAACAUUAUAAUCAUAUAUUUACAAUAAAAUAUAUAUUCUAUAACGGAUCAUUACAUAGUCUGAUGACAUAUAUUUAUCAAAUAAUCCAUUUUUUUAAUAAUAUAAUUGAUUAUGGAAUAUACAUGUUAUUAUAUUUUUAUAUAAUUAUUAUAUUAUAUAUAUACACUAAAAAAAAUAUAAAUAUAGUAAAAAAAAUAAUUAGUUGUUAUAAUAACUAAAUUAGAAAUUAUUUUAAAAACUAAAAAAAAUAAUUUUUAAAUUAGUUUAUAUUAUUAUUAAAUAGUUUUGUAAUUUGUAUUUAAUUAGCUACCAAGGUUUUAACUCCCAAUUAUUUAAUUUCUAAAUUUGGUCGUAAAAAUUUUGGUUGCUAAUUAAAUACUAAUUUAAAAAUUAUUUAAUGAUAAUACAAACUAAUUUAGAAACUAAAGUUUUUUUUUCUCUAAAAUGAUUUAUAAUUUAGUUACUAUAUCAACUAAAUAUUUUUUAUUCUCUAAACAUAGUUUUCUAUUUGAUGUUUUUUUUUAGUGAUAUUAUUAAUUGAUUAAUAUUUGUAUUUUUAUUCUAAACAUAAUUAAUUAUACAAUAUAAUACAAUGUAAUAAUAAUAAGUAGUCAAACAAUAAAGAAAUAUAAAAUAAUAAUAAUAAAAUAGUCUCUACCUUGAAGAAGGUGCAAAAGCAUGAGCAUGCUUGCAUUAAGCCUCGGUGCAAUAACCGGACCCAACACCAUCCCAGGAUUCACUACAACAACAUCCCACUCACUCUCCUUUGCCAAAUCCCACGCUGCUUUCUCGGCCAAUGUCUUCGACAAUGGAUACCACAACUGUUGCACACACAAACACUUCACACCCCAACACAUAACAAAAACAAACACAAAAUUCAAAAAAUGAAAACCCUUUCUAACCGCUUUUUCCUUGCAAAAUUCAACGUCAGUCCAGCACUCCUCCUUCUUUGGAACAUCACCGGGCCAAUUGGGGCUCGGAACAAUCGCGGUGAUGGAGGACGUCACCACCACGCGACGCACUCCAGCUUCUUUCGCUGCCGUUAGCACGUUCACGGUGCCCUUUACCGCCGGGUCCAGAAGAUCCUUCUGCAUGAAGACCCAAAUGGGAUGAUGCAAAAACCCUAAAGAUUGAAAAUUUGCAAGAAGAUCGAGAGAACAAAACCUGGGGGUCCUGGACUUCAUCAACAAUGCAGGGAGAGGCGAUGUGGAAUACGCCGGCGCAGCCGCGCAUGGCUUCGAGUACGGAGUCGUAGUGGAGGAGCUCCAUCUGGAAGAGGCGGAGGCGCUCCGACGCUCCAUCCAAGGCUUUUAGAUGCUUUGUCUCGGCCUCAUCGUCUGUUAGAAAAGUUGUGUUGUGCUGUGUAAGUAUAUAUUGGGAUGAAACGAAUGAAUAAUGAGAGUGUGGAAUGUACUAACUGAGAUUUCGGACGGUGGCGUGAACGGUGUAGCCGCGGUCCAGAAGGAGGUGGACGAGCCAGGAAGCGAUGGCGCCGCUGCCGCCGGUGACACACACCACCUUCUCCAUUUUGCAACUUAAUUCUAACACGAAAACGAUCACUAGAGACUUGAGAAGUCCACUUUGAAAUCAAGAGAAGAAGAAAGAAACAAGUGUAAUGAUGUGACGAACAUACACAUUUUUAUAGAAUAAUAUCACUUCAAUACUAUUAUUUUAAACAUCUAUACAUCCGUAUUUUAUUAUUUUAUUCAAUUUUUAUGUUAAAUUUCAUAAAAAAUUAACAUUAAAUAUAUAAAAAAUAUUACUUAAAAAAUAUUUAUUUUCUUUUUCAAUUUGAGUUUUUUUUUUUUUGAAGUUUUUACUCUUCUUCCAUUGAUAGUUUUGGAAUGAGAGAGUAUAAUGAUGAUAAUGAUUUUAUAAAAAAAUAUAAUUGUUUCUAAUGAGGAAUUGAAAAUAAAUGUUAUUUUAUUUGUUAAAUUUUAUGUAAAAACUUGAUCGUAUGUUUUAUUUUUUUCUUUUGUCUUAAAAUUAAGAAAAGAGUAGGAGAUGUGCAUAUGCAAUAAUAUUAAAAUAAAAAAUAGUUUUAAUUUUUAAUUAAUUUAUAUAAAAUAAUAAAAUAUUUAAUUAUAUUAAUAAAAUGAGAUAUAUUAAAUAAAGAUAAAAUAAAUUAUACACUAAAAAUCGAUUAUAAUAAAAAAAUUAUAUAUAGAUAUAAAUAUUUUUUUAUAUUAUUUAAUUUCAAAGUUAGUCUUUAUUAUAUAUAUUUAAUUGUCAAACUGUAUUAAAAAAAAAAGACAGGGACAGUAGAAUUAAUUUGACAGAAAACGAAAGACAUGGAAAAUUUGACAACAAAAAUAUCGAAAUCAGCAAUGCAGAAUUAAUUAUAGGAAAGUUGGUGAGUACGAAAACCAAUCCAAUUUUUUAAAGGAUCCGGAUUUUUGACAACGUACGCAUCGUAUAACUCUGAAAAAAUCUUAAUAUUUUAAUAGUGUGUGAUCUUCUGUCAUAUUGGAAUCUUUUUCUUAUCUUUUUUGUAGUUUUCAUAUUUUGAGGUUUCUUUCUUUUUUUUAAGCUUCACUAUGUAUUUGCAAAUUUUUCUUUGUGCACUGAAACAUUUAUUUUUUCUUCUGUAUUGUUUUUAUUUGAUCUCGGUUUUAUUUAUUGUUAUCGUUAUUCAUAAUAAUAUUAUUUUUAUUAAUACUAUUAUUAAAAUUAAUAAUAAUACUAAUACUAAUAUUAAUAAUAAUUUAAAUAAUAAAAAUAAUUUUAAUAUUACUACUAAUUAUAAUAAUAUUAUUAUUAUUAGUAAUAAUAUUAGUAUUAGUAGUAAUUAUAAUAAUAAUAAUUAUUAUUAUUAUAAUAAUAUUUUUUAACUAGUGUUAUUUAUUUAUCUUUAUAUUCUUACAAUUCCGAUUUAAUUUAGUCAAAUAUAUUCUUAAAGAAAAAAAAUAUUUAUUGUCAAACAUAAUUUUGAAUUGGAUUUUUUGACAUCAUUGUUAUAAUUUUAUUCAAAAUGAUUUUUUUUAUGUUUAAAUUUCAUAUUGUGAUUAAAUUUAGUAUGAAAGAUUUUAUUUAUUGAAGUACUGAGCAAUUGGACUCGAGUAUGAUUGAGGUUAAUCCGUUGGUCAUUUAAAAAAAUGGUUUAGGAAGUGGUGACCUAGUCUAACGGUUAGAGAGGAUGAUGAAUAAGGUGAAUUGAGUUUGUUUAUAACACAUUAAAUUUAUUAUUCACAUGAAAUUUAUUUUUCACAUGAAAAAUGAAAUCUAUUACUUUAAACAUGAUUGUUAAUAUGGAUAACAAAGACCUACUAACUAAUAAAAUUGUCUUAAAUCAUAAAUUAAAAUUAUUCUACACAACUACAAGUUGGAUUGAUUCGUUAUAAUAAUUGUACACGGAUAACAGUAACAUUAGAGAAAUUCAGCUUGUACGAGACUGUUUUCUCAAUGCCUUGUUUGAGAUUUUAUAUUUUGUUUGACUGUGUGGCUUUGUCGGUAUGGUAGACGUUCCUUGGUAGAAAGAGGAUAAAGUACAAAUUUGUAUAAGGGUUAGACCACUAUGUAGUGGUUCAUAUUUAUUAUUUUUUAUUGAUAAUAAAAAAACAAUUUUAUUAUCAUUUUAUUUUAUUUAUUUUGAUGGAUGUAUUACAAUAGUAUAAUAAAUUAUUAUAGAAUCAUAAUUUUGUAUUAGUUUUUUUUUACGUUCAAGUUAUAUUUAGUAUGUAUUUUUUUAAAAUAAAAUCAUAUUUAUAGAUUUUUGAACUUAUUGAAAUAUCGAAUAAAAUUAUUUGAAAAAUCUAUUAUUGAAUAUUAUAGAUCAUUCCAAGACUCAAUCAUAGAGGAACACAAACUCAUAGUACCAAAGGAUAACUUUUUUUUCAUUAAUUUAAUUUCCAACUCAUUGAGAUAAUUAUAAAAGCAUUUCUAUCCAUAACAUUAUGACAAAAUGUAAAGUACACUUUAUUUUCUUAAUAUAUAUAAUUUGACUUUGAUUAACCAAGUGGGCUUGCUGAUAAAAAAAAAACCAAGUGGGCUUCUUCAAUACCUGCAUCAUUUUAAUAUUUGGUAACAUUGUUUAUGGUUUCCCAAUUUUUACUUUAUGCAUAUGGACCCACUUUUUGUUUGUUGCUAUUUUACUUUAUUCAUUUUCAUUUUAUUUUUAAUUCAAAAUAUUAUUAUAUUAUUAUAAGUGUAUCUUAUUUACUGUUGUUUAUUGUUUAUGGUUUUAAAGUAACUUUUCUCUUUUGUCAUACAUUCACAUGGGGAGCGCUUAUUUGUUUGCAUGAAAAUUGGAAAUAAGGAGUUGAAGACGUACAAGAAAGAAAGAGUAACUCUAAAUAAAAGAAUAACUUCACUUUUUAAAAUAAUUAGUACGUUGAACCGUGGAACGCACGGGAAUUUUUUCAAUAUUUUAUAUGUAAAUAUUAAUAUUAAAAUUAAUAAUUUAAUUUAUUUAUAUAUAAUUUCAGUUAUACUUCCGUAUUUUUAUAUCUUUCUUAUAUAUUUUUAGUUGUAAUAUUUGAAAAAGUAGUUUUUGGAUCGAUCAAUACCAAAUGAGUGAGUUAUUUCACUUUGAAAAUUUAUCAACCACAUUAAAAUACAUUUAAGACACUCAAUAAAUGAGUUGCAACAAUUAUGAAAACUACCUACAAAUCAAAGUCAUAUCCCAUCUCGGUGAUACUCCGGGAAAAUAAUUAAUAUUAAUUUAUUGAAUAUAUUAUCUAAAUAUACAUAUCUAUAAAUCAGGGAAUCUCCUUAAAAAAUCACUUAACACUGAUAUUUGAUAAAUUCGACCCAUAACAAGAAAUGACUCAUGAGUAAACCCUUUACAAAGAAGGAAGAUACGCUUUUGAUCAAUUUCACUAUACACUCUUAACACAAGGUACUUACUUGAUCGUUGAAAAACCUUUUGCAAGUUAACUCCUAAUCGACUAUUGAGAAAUUGAGGAGAAGGAGUCUUGAAGUUUAAAUGAGUGAAGUACUGAGGAGCAAGGGAGGGACCGACAACCAAAACAAUUGUUACAGUCAAUCUCAUGUUAUAUCUAGUCUCACUUUGUCUAUACAAGUACAAGUACCAUAAUUUCAUCGUGUGUAAGAGGCUUGACGAGAAGAUUUGUUGUAUUUGACAUUCUCUAGUGGAAAGACAAUUUUUUUAGUUUUGUACUUCAUUUUUACACAUUGUUUUUUUGUGGUUUCCAAAAAAAAAAAAAACAAAACAAAAACAGAGUCACCACCGAACAAUCAUCAUCACUUGAAAAUGAAGAAGAUACAACACUCUCCAUCAAGUAUUGUUGGAAUUAAAAAAGAGUAUGUAAGUGGAGGAUGAAGAUAUGGAGGUGCAAAGAGAAUUCGCCAUCAAUUUUGUGCAUAUGGGACUACUUUUUUCAUCACAUUUUGGUAUCACCCUUCCUUCAUGGGUGUUUCUUUCUGCACCUUUAUAUUUUUCUUCCUGCACCCCAACAUUCAUGUGCAAUUACAAAAGUAUCUCUAAGACAUCUAAAAAACCCAAAAGGAGCAUAUCUCACUCUUUCUUUCUUCCUUUUCUACAAUUGUUGUAAAAAACGUGGUGGCCCACUUGCAGCAAACAGCAAAUAAUGGGCAAAGAAAACACGAUGACCCCACUUGCAGCAAACAGAAAAUAAUGAGUAAAUAAAAAAAUAGGGUUUGCAGGAAAUAUAGAAAAGAAUGAGGAAAGAAAAGAAUGGCAUGUGAAGGCAUUGUAAGGAAGGGUGAUGCCACAACGUUAUGAGAAUGAGUGGUUGUGAUGGAUGAAUGAAUAAUUAAGAUUCUUUCACAUUCUAAACAGUAUCUCACUUUCAUUCUCUAACCAUUUAUAGUAACAUCCCCACUUAUUCUUUCUUCUUUUAUAACAAAAAACAUAAACAACCACCCCUUUUUUCUUUCCUUUCUUUUAUUUACUACUUUUUUUAUAUCAUUUAAUUAUAAAUCUUUCUUUUGUUCUGAUCCCCAUGUGAAUGUCUGAAGAGGAAAUCAUUUAGGUGUCAAUAAGAACAUUGACAUAUUGGUUUAUAAUUAAAAAUUCUUGAUUUUGCAGACUUUAACUUUGAGUAGAAAGUUGAUAUUAUAUUAUUAUGUUUAUCUAUUUAUUAACUCAAAUUUAUUGAAUUGAAGAACUGAUUUUCUGCUUUGAUUUGUAAUAGAAUUAAACAAUUUUUAAAAUAAUUCAUAUUUAUUUAUUCCUUCAUACUAAUAAUAAAACUAACCACACCAACAAAAGUUUAACAACACAUAUGAUCGUGCCUUAUUUUACAACAACAGGAAUUUGCACCAAACAUAUGUGCCAUAAGGACUCAUAUUGCAGCAGCAAUUAUGGAAGGAAUCCUUUUUUCUUCAAAUCCUCUACAGAAUCCUUAAUAAUCUCCUCAAUUGGAGUGAUUUGCAAACCCAAAUCCAUAAGUUUCUUUGAUCCAUCCUUCACUCUCAAUAAUCCUGGUUGGGUAUCUCGUUGCAUCCUUUCAAGCAAAAUCACAAAGCACAUCAUUUACAAGUAAGUUAUGCAUUAACAAUACAUGUAUCAAGUGUGUGGCUAACUUACUUAGGCACUUUGUACUCUGGAUAAAGUUCACCAACUUUGGCUGCAAAAUCACCAUAGUGAGAGAUAGCUUCAACACACACAUGCCUACCAGCUGCAGAUUUGUUCUCAUACACCAAAAUAUGUGCCAAUGCUACAUCCUUAAAGUGAACCGAUCCCAUAAAAAUGUCCUCAUAUGUAUCAUCACAACCUGAGACGCAACAUACAAAAUGUCACAAAUUCUCAGUAAUUCCCCUGAAAAAUCAUAAAUUGGGUAGAGUUUGAUAUUUGUAUUCGGGUCAACGACUAUAGUGUGCAAAAAUAUAAUGAGAAGAGCAUAGCAUAAUCAAAUAAGUCUAAUACUUUUCACGAAGGCAUCAAGUUCUAAAUGCCCUACGCAACUAUAUACCAUGAACUAAGUUGUAGCAGGUCUUGUGAAAUUAGUCUAAUAACUAGGUAACAGAAACAGUAGCCCUAUUCACAUGAUACCAUUUUAUUCAGUUAAAAUAUUAUACAUUAUUCAUAAUAACAAGGUCCCUAACAUGGUGUUAAAUAGUUUUUUUAUGAGAAAAAAAAAUAAUCAAAAUAUUUCAAUUCAACCGUUAUAAGUCAUAACUAACUAGAUCUCUUAUAUUCAAUAAACAAGUUUCUAAAACAAACCCAAAACAUGACAAUCUACCAACAUGGUUUUCAAUAAUGGUAUGCAACUAUGACUUUAGUAUACAAUUCUUCUCAAAGGAUAUUUUCCUUUAAAAGAAAAAUUCCUUUGUCUUUCUGAGUGUCUCUCAGACACACCUUUCCAUGCAAUCAACGUUUCUCUAGUGGCUCAGUAAUACUUCUGUAAUAAUGCAGAAUAUUUCAGCACUUCUCAAUAUUCAAGAGACUCCUACUGCAAGAUUAGAAAGCAAUAUUUGGAAAAGGCAAUUGAUUAAGCAUAAGUCUCUCUCUAC